rnacentral:rRNA from 1 species
CAAAAACAUAGCUAUUAGAUUUCAUUAAUGGUAAGUUCUGCUCAAUGAGGUUUUAAAUAGCCGCAGUACACUGACUGUGCUAAGGUAGCAUAAUCAGUUGGCUUAUAAUUGAAGUCUUGUAUGAAUGAAUACAUGGGGAGUAACUGUAUCUUAAAUAUAAAAUGAAAUUACUAAGUAAGUGCAAAUUCUUACAUAUACAUAAUAGACGAGAAGACCCUAGAAAUUUUCAGUAUAUAAAUAAUGGGUUUUUGUUGGGGCAACAGUGUAACAUAUAACUUACAUUAUCAUUACAGGRRAUUUAUAGAUAGUUAAAAUUACUCUAGGGAUAACAGCGUAAUAUAUAUAUAUGAUUGCGACCUCGAUGUUGGACUAGGAAACGAAAACUUAGAAGGUUAGUUGUAAUGCUCUGUUCGAGC